AGUGAACGCUGGCGGUAGGCCUAACACAUGCAAGUCGAACGGCAGCACAGGAGAGCUUGCUCUCUGGGUGGCGAGUGGCGGACGGGUGAGGAAUACAUCGGAAUCUACUUUUUCGUGGGGGAUAACGUAGGGAAACUUACGCUAAUACCGCAUACGACCUACGGGUGAAAGCAGGGGAUCUUCGGACCUUGCGCGAUUGAAUGAGCCGAUGUCGGAUUAGCUAGUUGGCGGGGUAAAGGCCCACCAAGGCGACGAUCCGUAGCUGGUCUGAGAGGAUGAUCAGCCACACUGGAACUGAGACACGGUCCAGACUCCUACGGGAGGCAGCAGUGGGGAAUAUUGGACAAUGGGCGCAAGCCUGAUCCAGCCAUACCGCGUGGGUGAAGAAGGCCUUCGGGUUGUAAAGCCCUUUUGUUGGGAAAGAAAAGCAGUCGGUUAAUACCCGAUUGUUCUGACGGUACCCAAAGAAUAAGCACCGGCUAACUUCGUGCCAGCCGCCGCGGUAACAC
rnacentral:rRNA from 1 species